rnacentral:rRNA from 1 species
UACGUAGGGAGCAAGCGUUGUUCGGAUUUACUGGGCGUAAAGCGUGCGCAGGCGGCUUGCUAAGACAGGUGUGAAAGCCCCGAGCUUAACUUGGGAAUGGCGCUUGUGACUGGCAGGCUGGAGUGUGGCAGAGGGAGGUGGAAUUCCACGUGUAGCAGUGAAAUGCGUAGAGAUGUGGAGGAACACCGAUGGCGAAGGCAGCCUCCUGGGCCAACACUGACGCUCAUGCACGAAAGCGUGGGGAGCAAACAGG